UUUUUUUUCUUUCGUCUUUUUAGGGCCGCACCCGCGGCCAUAUGGAGGUUCCCAGGCUAGGGGUCGAAUCAGAGCUACAGCUGCCAGCCUACGCCACAGCCACAGCAACGCCAGAUCUGAGCUGCGUCUGCAACCUACACCAUAGCUCACGGCCACGCCAGAUCCUUCACCCACUGAGCAAGGCCAGGAAUCGAACCUGCAACUUCAUGGUUCCUAGUCAGGUUCGUUUCUGCUGUGCCACAAUGGGAACUCCCUACAUUUCAAUUUUAAGAAGAACGAAAGGGAGGGAAAGAGGGAGCAAACAAAAACAGAAACCCUUUUUAAUGAGAAUUCAGGUUGCAGACCUCUUUAAAGUCCACGUAGCCCGUGGCGCACUGGAACCGCCAGGAGAGGCUAUAAAAAGAGACUGUGGCACCUCUGCUAUGAGAAUCAAGCUUUCCCAGCGUCCCCGAGUUCCCAGCACGCAGCGGGGGGUACACCUGACCCCUGGCAGCGCCGUCCUGCCCCAUCCCAUGAGGCUCCUGGACUGAAGAGCACAGGUUGCUCUCCUUGGUGUUUCAGAGUAGAACUGCUUUUGUGGCGCGUGUCUACAUGCGACUUUGAAGGGUCCCAGGGCACCUGCCCCAUGCCACCCCCGCUGCUCCCACCACCACCAGGGGUCUUCUGAUGGGCCACAGCUACAGCGUUUUAGCUCCCGUUGUGGUCUCAUUUGAGCCAAAGUUUCCUGUGAUCGGCCAACCACAGCCUCUGAUCUUGGAAAACAAGGAAGGGCUUUAUAAAGGCGCUGCAACGAACAAUGAGCAAGAGCCAGAGAGAAGGGAUUGAAACUACUGAAGGACUUAAAACAGAGGCGCCUUGCAAUCCUUUUCUCCCCGCCUUUCAAUGGACAAAACCUGCACGCAUGGCGGAGAAAUCCCAGCUGCAUUCUCUUUGGGUCACUUCCCCUCAGGAACCCUGAGUGAUACGAAGCUGGCCCCACCCGGCUUUGCUGCCCUCCCUGGACCCUGGACCCAGGACCCACCUCGUCUUCAGCAUCAGCCCUCUGAUCUCUCCCUCUUCAACCCCAUCCUGGCUGAGGGCGCAGCUGAGACGGCCAGCAUCGGACAGGUGGCUUCAGGAGUUGCCUCCCCAAACUUUAAUUCCUACCUGGGUUCUCUUAAAAAGAGCAGGACAGACAGCCUCGAUGGACAGGCAGCCUGGGAGAGACUUGGUUUCAAAUCUUGGCUCAGCCACUAACCCCCUGGAGGCCUCAGAACCUCAGGGCUCAAAGCCCCCUUUCUCUGGUUUGGAAGUAGGGUUUCUGGUGGUAAAAACAUCCGCGCCCUGUCCCCGGCCUGAUGGGUGGUGAGGUGGUUAUCCUCCCCCGCCCCCCCAGGACCACGCCCUCUGCCCUCUGCCAGUUCAGCUGGACCAGUGGCACCUGCUGUUCCCUUGGCCGCCCAGCAUCCUGCCCCUUCAUCUGCAGAAUCACUGCUGAGUGGGCUUAAUGGAAGUUUAGGAGAGUCCGAAGGUGCCAAUCAGACCAGAUGGUGCCUGUGCCAGGGCCGGGGGCAAACCCAGCCUGUCGGCUGCAGGGCCCCGCCGCCGCCAGCCACCAUCAGCCACAAGGACAGCAGCCCAAGGAGAGGUGGGGGCCCAGCCUCUGCGGGGAGGGGCAGCACCAGAGGUGACAGAAGGGUGCUUUCCUGGGGCAGAUCCACAGGCGAGCAUUAUUAGUUGGCAGAAAACCAAGUUCCGGCAGAGAAGACACGGGGCCAGAGCCAACUGCGGAAUGUCCCUCGGUCCCAGUCACGUGCACGGUCGGGAGAACAAAUGACCACUUACUAGAGGUGAGGCAGGUGUUCACAAGUGAAGGGUCCCCCGAGGGGCAGAGCAGUGGGCGGCGAGGGGAAGGGCCACCUGGAACGAGACCGACACGAAUGACCUUCUCCGGAAACACAGACACAGAGCGCAGACUUGGGGUUGCCAAGGGCACAGUGGGGACUGGGGGUUUGGGGUUAGCAGAUGCAAACUAUGACGCACAGGGCGGAUGAACAACCAGGUCCUCUCGAGAGCACAGGGAAGUGGAUUCCAUACCCUGUGAUAAACCACCAUGGGAAAGACUACGAAAGAAGCGUGUACACGUGUGUGUAACUGAGUCACUUUGCAGCACGGCAGAAAUGAACACAACAGUGGAAAUCAACUCGACUUCAACAAAAUAAAUUUAAAACAUAAAAAGAAUGGAGUUCCCGUUGUGGCGCAGUGGCAACAAAUCCGACUAGGAACCACGGGGAUGCCGGUUCGAUCCCUGGCCUCACUCACUGGGUUAAGGAUCCGGCAUUGCCCUGAGCUGUGGUCUAGGUUGCAGACGCAGCUCUGAUCCAGCAUUGCUGUGGCUGUGGUGUAGGCUGGAAGCUACAGCUCUGAUUCGACCCCUAGCCUGGGAACCUCCAUAUGCCAGGGGUACGGCCCUAAAAAGAAAAACAAUUUAAAAAUUAAAAAAUAAAAAAUAAAAAGAAUGAAAUCCAAGACUUCCAGCUGAGAGUAACCAAGAAGCGUUGCCUUUGAUGAAAUGUGAUUAAAAGGGACUCUACCCAAGGGCGAGGUUGUGCCAACUUUUAAAGUUCAGGUUUGCAAGUUGAACGGCCUAAGCCCCUCCCGUGUUUUCAGAUCAUUCAAAGUUGUGAAUCAGCUUCCGAGAGGCCUGAGUUCCUGCCUCUGAUUCCCCAGCCCCCGCCCCACUCUCCUCCGGCCUGGAAGGUCUGGAAGGUCCGGGAAAGGCGCUGGUGAGCAGCUGGUGGGGGGCGGCCAGCAGUACGGCGCCCCAGGUGCAAAGGCAGACUUUAGAGGGAAACAAUCAAGAGACUGUUCUCAGAGCCCUGGGGCAUCACACACGGUGACCUUUCCUUCCUCCUCUGCCCGGGACAGAGAAAGAAGGGUGACCAAUGACAGAGGAGGGAGCAGGGGGUGACCCGGGCUUUACAGCAGGACCCGGCCUCUCCUGUUUGUGGCGUGGCAUCAACAAUAACCUUUUCCAUUGUCUCUGAUGAAGGUGCCUGAGAACCGAGGGUGGUGACCCGAGGGCCCCCUCCUCCCUGCCCACGUCCCUGGGCUGCCACCACCUGGGACAGGAGCUGGUUCUUAGCGUACACGACACGCCGCGGGUGAUGCGCACGGAGCUCAAAGGACCGCCUGAUUCCCCAGGGCUGGGCUUUUUGAUUAUAACCCCGAUUUCAGUCCCGAGGAGCCAGGAAUCAGCUCCGAGGUCAGCACGCUCGGGCCAGCGGGCCACGUGCAGCUGCUGCCUGCCUCUGCGCCCAGCGCGGAGCGCGGCCACGGCCGCAUCUCCUGUUUACCCCUGGCUGUCCUCCCGCAGCCACGGUAGAGGAAGUGGUUGUCACAGGGACCAUGUGACCUGCCAAGAGCCUGGAACACUCACUCUUGGCCCCUUACAGAAAACGUCCGCCGACCCCGUGCCUGCGCCUUGCCAAACGCCGCCAUCACGUGUCCUGCUUCCCUGGCAUGAAGCCCGCGAGUUUGCGUGGCAGCCCAGAAGCAGGGGGCGGGGGGGGGUGGAAGAGCCAAGGCUUCGCCCCCAAACAUAGACCCCUCGGAACUGCAGAGGUGACCAGAUGGCUGGAAUUCCCACGUCAACACAUGACAUCCUGACCAAGGAAGCACUUGCUUCUAUAGUUGAGGGUCUGAAGGAUCAGACUGUGUGCGACGCCCCCCACUCCCACCCCCGACCACAUGACAGCAGGUCUUGGGGGGAACAUCUCCCGAAGACCGCCGGAGUUUGUCUGCUGAGCAUCUAGCUUAGCCGGAGGACUAGAGGGUCCUGCUUCUGAAAAAUGACAUUCACAAUUUUAUCUGUCAUAUCUGGGGACUCUUGGACCCCAGAAGCUAAUCUGUGAGCCCCAGAUUAAGAACCUCUGAUCAAUUAAUUUUGCUAGUUGUGGGGAAAACAAAUCUUUUUUUUAAAAGCACUGGUCAAGGAGUUCCCGCUGAGGUUCAGCACAUUAAGGAUCCGGCGUUGUCUCUGCAGCAACUCUGGUUGCCGCUAAAGCAGAGGUUUGAUCCCCGGCCCAGCACAGUGGGUU
rnacentral:lncRNA from 1 species